rnacentral:rRNA from 1 species
UACAGGGGGGGCAAGCGUUGUUCGGAAUUACUGGGCGUAAAGGGCUCGUAGGCGGCCAACUAAGUCACACGUGAAAUCCCCAGGCUUAACCGGGGAACUGCGUCCGAUACUGGUUGGCUUGAGUUUGGGAGAGGGAUGCGGAAUUCCAGGUGUAGCGGUGAAAUGCGUAGAUAUCUGAAGGAACACCAGUGGCGAAGGCGGCUUUCUGGCCUAUUCUUGACGCUGAGGCGCGAAAGCUAGGGGAGCGAACGGG